GACGAACGCUGGCGGCGUGCUUAACACAUGCAAGUCGAACGAUGAUGCCCAGCUUGCUGGGUGGAUUAGUGGCGAACGGGUGAGUAACACGUGAGUAACCUGCCCCUGACUCUGGGGUAAGCGUUGGAAACGACGUCUAAUACUGGAUAUGACUGCCGGCCGCAUGGUCUGGUGGUGGAAAGAUUUUUUGGUUGGGGAUGGACUCGCGGCCUAUCAGCUUGUUGGUGAGGUAAUGGCUCACCAAGGCGACGACGGGUAGCCGGCCUGAGAGGGUGGCCGGCCACACGGGGACUGAGACACGGCCCAGACUCCUACGGGAGGCAGCAGUGGGGAAUAUUGCACAAUGGGCGAAAGCCUGAUGCAGCAACGCCGCGUGAGGGAUGACGGCCUUCGGGUUGUAAACCUCUUUUAGUAGGGAAGAAGCGUAAGUGACGGUACCUGCAGAAAAAGCACCGGCUAACUACGUGCCAGCCGCCGCCGUAA
rnacentral:rRNA from 1 species